rnacentral:piRNA from 1 species
UGCCGUUCGUUCUUGCCGUGAUGUACGUC